rnacentral:rRNA from 1 species
CUGAAAGCAUCUAAGCACGAAACUUGCCCCGAGAUGAGUUCUCCCUGACUCCUUGAGAGUCCUGAAGGAACGUUGAAGACGACGACGUUGAUAGGCCGGGUGUGUAAGCGCAGCGAUGCGUUGAGCUAACCGGUACUAAUGAACCGUGAGGCUUAACCUUACAACGCCGAAGCUGUU